rnacentral:rRNA from 1 species
GACGAACGCUGGCGGCGUGCCUAAUACAUGCAAGUAGAACGCUGAAGAGAGGAGCUUGCUCUUCUUGGAUGAGUUGCGAACGGGUGAGUAACGCGUAGGUAACCUGCCUUGUAGCGGGGGAUAACUAUUGGAAACGAUAGCUAAUACCGCAUAACAAUGGAUGACACAUGUCAUUUAUUUGAAAGGGGCAAUUGUUCCACUACAAGAUGGACCUGCGUUGUAUUAGCUAGUAGGUGAGGUAAUGGCUCACCUAGGCGACGAUACAUAGCCGACCUGAGAGGGUGAUCGGCCACACUGGGACUGAGACACGGCCCAGACUCCUACGGGAGGCAGCAGUAGGGAAUCUUCGGCAAUGGGGGCAACCCUGACCGAGCAACGCCGCGUGAGCGAAGAAGGUUUUCGGAUCGUAAAGCUCUGUUGUAAGUCAAGAACGGGUGUGAGAGUGGAAAGUUCACACUGUGACGGUAGCUUACCAGAAAGGGACGGCUAACUACGUG